AGCGGUGAAAUGCGUAGAGAUUGGAAAGAACACCGAUGGCGAAGGCACUUUACUGGGCUAUUACUAACACUGAGAGACGAAAGCUAGGGUAGCAAAUGGGAUUAGAUACCCCAGUAGUCCUAGCCGUAAACAAUGGAUACUAGAUGUUGAACAGAUCGACCUGUGCAGUAUCAAAGCUAACGCGUUAAGUAUCCCGCCUGGGGACUACGGUCGCAAGAUUAAAACUCAAAGGAAUUGACGGGGACCCGCACAAGCGGUGGAGCAUGUGGUUUAAUUCGAUGCAACGCGAAAAACCUUACCACUCCUUGACAUGGAAAUUAUACCUAUUCGAAGGGAUAGGGUCGGUUCGGCCGGGUUUCACACAGGUGUUGCAUGGCUGUCGUCAGCUCGUGUCGUGAGAUGUUGGGUUAAGUCCCGCAACGAGCGCAACCCUCAUCCUUAGUUACCAUCAGGUAAUGCUGGGGACUUUAAGGAAACUGCCAGUGAUAAACUGGAGGAAGGUGGGGAUGAUGUCAAGUCAUCAUGGCCCUUAUGGAGUGGGCUACACACGUGCUACAAUGGUGGCUACAAUGGGCUGCAAAGUCGCGAGGCUAAGCUAAUCCCUUAAAAGCCAUCUCAGUUCGGAUUGUACUCUGCAACUCGAGUGCAUGAAGUUGGAAUCGCUAGUAAUCGUGGAUCAGCACGCCACGGUGAAUACGUUCUCGGGUCUUGUACACACUGCCCGUCACGCCAUGGGAAUACGUUC
rnacentral:rRNA from 1 species